rnacentral:rRNA from 1 species
AACCAACAGGGAUUGCCCUAGUAACGGCGAGUGAAGCGGCAAUAGCUCAAAUUUGAAAGCUGGCCUUCUGGUCCGCAUUGUAAUUUGUAGAGGAUGCUUUUAGGCAGCCGCCGGUCUAAGUUCCUUGGAACAGGACGUCAUAGAGGGUGAGAAUCCCGUAUGUGACCGGCUCUGGCACCUUAUGUAAAGCUCCUUCGACGAGUCGAGUUGUUUGGGAAUGCAGCUCUAAAUGGGAGGUAAAUUUCUUCUAAAGCUAAAUACCGGCGAGAGACCGAUAGCGCACAAGUAGAGUGAUCGAAAGAUGAAAAGCACUUUGGAAAGAGAGUUAAAAAGCACGUGAAAUUGUUGAAAGGGAAGCGCUUGCAAUCAGACUUGGACUUGGCUGUUCAACCGGUCUUCUGACCGGCCCACUCAGUCUUGUCCAGGCCAGCAUCAGUUUCGGCGGCCGGAUAAAGGCCUUGGGAAUGUAGCUGUCCCUUCGGGGACAGUGUUAUAGCCCAGGGUGUAAUACGGCCAGCCGGGACUGAGGUCCGCGCUUCGGCUAGGAUGCUGGCGUAAUGGUUGUAAGCGGCCCGUCUUGAAACACGGACCAAGGAGUCUAACAUCUAUGCGAGUGUUAGGGUGUCAAACCCUUACGCGUAAUGAAAGUGAACGGAGGUGGGAACCCGCAAGGGUGCACCAUCGACCGAUCCUGAUGUCUUCGGAUGGAUUUGAGUAAGAGCAUAGCUGUUGGGACCCGAAAGAUGGUGAACUAUGCCUGAAUAGGGUGAAGCCAGAGGAAACUCUGGUGGAGGCUCGCAGCGGUUCUGACGUGCAAAUCGAUCGUCAAAUUUGGGUAUAGGGGCGAAAGACUAAUCGAACCAUCUAGUAGCUGGUUCCUGCCGA